UAAUAAAAGAAUCAGGGCAUCCAGAAUAAUCUAUAAUGAGAGCCAAAAGCCAAGAAGAAGAACAGCUGUCCAAAAUGGAGAAGCCAAGCAGCAGCUGCUAGCGUGAGGAAGCAGCUGCCUAACACCAGCCCCCUCUCGCAGCCCAUCACCUCGCUCAUAGCAGCUGCCGAACAACAGCCCCACCUCCCCAACCAGCACCUCGCCCAUAGCAGCCCAGCAGCUCAGCUCGCCAACCAGACCAGCAAACACAGGCCAGCACAUCUCCUCGCUAAUAACCUGCACCUCGCCCAUAGCUACCCAUAGCAGCCCAGCAACCCGGACCUGCAUCAUUAGACUGACCAACUGCUGACCCAAGACUGCACCUCUAGUCACCUCGCCCAAACCUCCAUCUCUAGACUGACCAGCACCUGACCCAAAUCUACACCUCAACAACCAAAUCCAUUUCAGCAAACAGGGCAGGACUAAGCAUCAACCGAAAAGCCCAGCAGCCAGAGACCAAACUCUACAACCUCGUGCAGUCAACCCAAAAGGAAGACCAAAACCGGAGCUGAACCAUCGGAAAUAGACGGCUCUGGCGUCCAAAUCCGGCACAGCUGAUAAGUGGAUUUUAUAUCCACGAAUCGACGUUCAUUUCAAACUUAAUUCAUUGUUACUUUCUUGUUUUCGUGUUUGUUUUUACUCGUUUCUUGUUCUUUUAUGUGUAGGGUGGUCGUUGAGGCAAGUCGUGAAGAAAGGAGGUUUUUUGGAGCAAAAGUGGAAGCAACUUGGAAAAUGGCACAGUCAACUUGCAGAAGACAACCCCGCCGGGGCGGGCCCUUUUUGCCUAUGUACCCCCGCCGGGGCGGGGGGUCGCGAAAUCUGAACUCUCAUGUUGCUUGUUGAACUCUGCUGGGAUAUGGAUUUGAGCAUUCUUGUAGCAUAUGGACUCUAAAGAGGAGAGGAUUUCGUUUGGGACUUGUGUGUGGGAGGCUAUUUACUCAAUUAACAACGAAUUACACAACACACAAGGCAUAUUACGAAGAUUAAUUCCAAAAUUUGAUAACAAGCUUUGGAUGAGUAUUUUGAAGAGAUUUUUGUGACGAUUGCAGAUUAAGGAAACGUG
rnacentral:lncRNA from 1 species